UCUUCUCUUCGUCUCUCUCUCUCUCUCGCUCAGAGAAUUUGUAAAUCGAGCAUGAACUUCUCUAGAAAUCAGGUGGGUUUUGUAUUUGUAGUGAGUAUUUGAUCAGGCUGAGGCCGCCGAGCUCGAACCCAACGACGACGGUAGCGAUCUCAAAGAAGACGGUUAGUUUACCUCACUGUAAUUUGUUUUGAAGAAGAAGACGGUUAGAUGAAGCUACUGCCUAACGUCCUCGAAAGGCCUCUCAGUAAAGGAAAACAAGAGGUCAGUUUGAGUGCAUUUGCGUUCUUGUUUUCGGAGCUUGUGCAAUACAGCCAAACACAGGUUGACAACAUUGCCUAGCUAGAACCAAGGAAGUUACCUCAAUUCUUUUAGCAGAUGGAGUUGCAAGUGAAAAAAUACUGAAGAAUUUCUAACUAAUACGUAGAAAGUCUGCAUUGUUGUACCAUUGUUGAGUAAUAGUUACUAUUAAUUUGUUCCCCACUGCUGAGGAUAAAAUAUCCUAGCUUGGAAUCAGAAAAAUAAAUACAAUUUUGGCGUUCCAACUUCUGAGCAUUUUGUUGUUUUUAUUUAAA